GAAGUGCGAUAAGCAAUGCGAAUUGCAGAAUUCCGCGAAUCAUCAGAUCUUUGAACGCAAAUGGCGCCAGAGGGAUAUCCUUCUGGCAUGUCUGUUUCAGUGUCUGAGAGGUUUCACAAUAAUCUUAAUGUGAUUGAACUGAAGUUAGUUAGUUUAUUCUAGCUUUCAUCUUUUCUCUCAUGAAAGAUGCGCGAGGGGAUCUUUCGGUCCAAUGAAGUGGUCACAUCACUCGAAUGUGAUUUCAUUGGAAGCACCGAAUUAUCAUUAUAAAAAACUCGCGGUAUCAUUUUUAUUGUUAAUAGUGAUGGUGAUGUUUCAUCAUCAUCGUUAUUACACUCUCCACACCCUGCAUCUGAGAUAGGCAAGAUCACCCGCUGAACUUAA
rnacentral:misc_RNA from 1 species